rnacentral:rRNA from 1 species
UACGGAGGGGGCUAGCGUUGUUCGGAAUUACUGGGCGUAAAGCGCGCGUAGGCGGCUUUGUAAGUUAGAGGUGAAAGCCCGGGGCUCAACCCUGGAACUGCCUUUAAGACUGCAUCGCUUGAAUCCAGGAGAGGUGAGUGGAAUUCCGAGUGUAGAGGUGAAAUUCGUAGAUAUUCGGAAGAACACCAGUGGCGAAGGCGGCUCACUGGCCUGGUAUUGACGCUGAGGUGCGAAAGCGUGGGGAGCAAACAGG